GCUGAGUGGGGAGGAGAGAUGGACAGAGAGCCUGCUUCUUUAAAGGAGCAAAGCGGAAGAGGAGCCACUUACACAAGUGUAAGCGGCUCCUGUCCGGUUGGUUCCUUUAAAGCAAGCAGGCUCUCUGUCCCUCUCUCCUCCCCACUCAGC
rnacentral:miRNA from 1 species